rnacentral:rRNA from 1 species
CUCGAAAGAGAACCUGCACACAGGUGCUGCAUGGCUGUCGUCAGCUCGUGUCGUGAGAUGUUGGGUUAAGUCCCGCAACGAGCGCAACCCUUGUCAUUAGUUGCCAUCAUUUGGUUGGGCACUCUAAUGAGACUGCCGGUGACAAACCGGAGGAAGGUGGGGAUGACGUCAAGUCCUCAUGGCCCUUAUGGGUAGGGCUUCACACGUCAUACAAUGGUCGGUACAGAGGGUUGCCAACCCGCGAGGGGGAGCUAAUCCCACAAAGCCGAUCGUAGUCCGGAUCGCAGUCUGCAACUCGACUGCGUGAAGUCGGAAUCGCUAGUAAUCGUGGAUCAGCAUGUCACGGUGAAUACGUUCCCGGGUCUU